rnacentral:rRNA from 1 species
UACGUGAGGGGCAAGCGUUGUCCGGAUUUAUUGGGCGUAAAGAGCGUGUAGGCGGCCAAGCAGGUCCGCUGUGAAAACUCGAGGCUCAACCUCGAGACGUCGGUGGAAACCGUUUGGCUAGAGUCCGGAAGAGGAGAGUGGAAUUCCCGGUGUAGCGGUGAAAUGCGCAGAUAUCGGGAAGAACACCCGUGGCGAAGGCGGCUCUCUGGGACGGUACUGACGCUGAGACGCGAAAGCGUGGGGAGCGAACAGG